GAUUAACGCUGGCGGCGUGCCUAACACAUGCAAGUCGAACGAUGAAACUUAACUGAUUUCUUCGGAAUGAUUUUAAGUGGAUUAGUGGCGGACGGGUGAGUAACGCGUGAGUAACCUGCCUUGGAGAAGGGGAUAGCCUUUGGAAACGAAGAAUAAUACCCUAUGAUAUGAUAAUAUCUCAUGAUAUUAUCAUCAAAGAUUUAUCGCUCUAAGAUGGACUUGCGUCUGAUUAGUUAGUUGGAGAGGUAACAGCUCACCAAGGCAGCGAUCAGUAGCCGGCAUGGGAGAGUGGACGAGACCACUGCGACUGGGACAAGGGCCAGACUCCGACGGAAGGCAGCAGGGGGGAAUCAUGCACACUGGGGGAAACACGAAUGCAGCGGGGUCGCGAGAUUUAGAAGGCCUUCGGGAUGUAAAAAUCUUUUGUAUGGGAAGAAAAUGACGGUACCAUAAGAAUAAGGACCGGCUAAUUACGUG
rnacentral:rRNA from 1 species